GCUGUUCUCAUGGGGUGCCUUUGGCUGAGAUUGAGUAAUCAGAACCCAUCGAACCUGAACCAGAUCAUGCUGGCGUAGGAAUUGAGAAGCCCCUCUAGU
rfam:Photobacterium damselae subsp. damselae CIP 102761 Contig58, whole genome shotgun sequence.